GGCUGUGCCAACGCUCUGACCGCUCCACCCAAGGGUAUCAGAACAUUCUUCUAUACCAACCGUCAGACCUGCCAGGAUUGGCUGACUCGUAUCCGCCUGGCCCUGAUGAGGGUGGGUCUUCUGUCCGGCCAACCAGCAGUCACCGUGCGCCACGGCUUGGACCUGCUGACUGAGAUCCAGAACAGCAGCACUCUGGGUCCAGAGUUGGAGGCUCCUCUGGUGAUGCUGGUAGAGGCUCUGUGUGAACUUCACUGUCCUGAGGCUAUCCAGGGUUUAGCUGCCUGGAGUCUCACCA